ACUCCCAAACCCAUGUGAACAUACCUAACGUUGCCUCGGCAGGUCGCACCUACCUUGUAGCACCCUACCCUGUAGGGCCUACCCGGGAGGUGCGGGUAAGCCUGCCGGCGGCCCACCAAACUCUGUUUGAUAUUGAAUUCUGAACCUAUAACUAAAUAAGUUAAAACUUUCAACAACGGAUCUCUUGGUUCUGGCAUCGAUGAAGAACGCAGCGAAAUGCGAUAAGUAAUGUGAAUUGCAGAAUUCAGUGAAUCAUCGAAUCUUUGAACGCAUAUUGCGCCCAUUAGUAUUCUAGUGGGCAGGACCGUUCGAGCGUCAUUUCAACCCUUAAGCCUUCGUUGCUUAGUGUUGGGAGCCUACGGCAACGUAGCUCCUCAAAGUUAGUGGCGGAGUUGGUUCACACUCUAGACGUAGUAAUUUUUUAUCUCGCCUAUUAGUUGGACUAAUCCCCUGCCGUAAAACCCCCAAUUUAUCAAGGUUGACCUCGAAUCGGUUCAGACAAACUCGCUAAAUUGAAGCAUCUUAGUCAGCGAAGGAAAAGAAACCAACAGGGAUUGCCCUAGUAACGGCGAGUGAAGCGGCAACAGCUCAAAUUUGAAAUCUGGCCCUCGGGUCCGAGUUGUAAUUUGUAGAGGAUGCUUUUGGCGCGGUGCCUUCCGAGUUCCCUGGAACGGGACGCCUUAGAGGGUGAGAGCCCCGUACGGUUGGACACCAAGCCUCUGUAAAGCUCCUUCGACGAGUCGAGUAGCUUGGGAAUGCUGCUCUAAAUGGGAGGUAAAUUUCUUCUAAAGCUAAAUAUUGGCCAGAGACCGAUAGCGCACAAGUAGAGUGAUCGAAAGAUGAAAAGCACUUUGAAAAGA
rnacentral:rRNA from 1 species